CUCUUGCAAACGCUGUCGCGCGCCGUGCGCGUCCACGGUUUAUAUGCACGUUCCGUAUACUUCCCCAGGCAGAAUAACUUCAACAAACCCCCUCGUCAGUCCCUUUCACUUUUGUCCAACACGUCAACAUGGUGAACUAUCCUGCAACAGGAGACCUAUCAGUGGAGCUGAAUCUGAGAUCAAAAUGAACAUCCUUGCAACAGUGGUUAUCCUGGGUGCAAGUGGAGCUGGUUAUCAUAACCUGGACCUGGAUGUCAGGAAAGAGGCUAACGUCUGAGUGGGAGUAGAUCGGUGCAAAUGAGAAGUCCGCCUUGUUAAACUUGAAUCAUGAAGCCAAAGGGCUUGAUUAAGAUAAUAUAAUCUAAACUGUAUUGUUGUUGUUUUUUUACAAAGAGAAUUAAUCUAUUAUGUUACAUGUUUGUUGUUAUGUUUUGAGUGAACCGCUUAAGGCAUAUGCUGCCGUAAAUCAAGAGUCUCAUGACAGAUUUGAUGCUAAACCGGUUCCUCUUCCUUUGUUAAACAAACUGGAGCAUAAUGCAUUGCUUUUGUGUUUAAAUUCAGGACAAACUGGUUUGUGAAAGUGAUGGCAAGGUGCAUAAUUAAAUAUAUCACAAAAUAAUUAUCUAAAAUCAGAAAUACUAAAUUGAUCCCUGUGUGGUAGUAUGGUUUACUUUCUCUGAUGCAUGGCUGGUAGAAUGAAAUAAAAUACCAUACAUUUUUAUAAAU